AAAAAAAAAAAAAAAAAACAACAACACUCAUGAUGCAAAGGAGAUGGCACCAUAAUUGAGAACAAGCUUUAUUUGCAGUAAAAGGGGGAAAAAUGGAGAGAGAGAGAGAGUAACACCCAAUGGCAGGAGAGAGAAAGAGAAAGAAGGGUUAAGUGCAUGGAGAAGAGAGACAAGACAAGGUACAGGUUUAAAUCCAAACUGUCAAAGUUACGUCAUCACUUUACCCGAGAAUCAGCAACUAUAGUAAGAAGUAUUUUUAUGUUAGUAAACUUGAAGUUGGGGUACUUUAGUGUUACAAAAG
rnacentral:misc_RNA from 1 species